rnacentral:rRNA from 1 species
UACAGAGGUGGCAAGCGUUGUUCGGAAUUACUGGGCGUAAAGGGCGAGUAGGCGGCCUUCUAAGUCAUACGUGAAAUCCCUCAGCUUAACUGGGGAACUGCGUGUGAUACUGGAUGGCUUGGAUUUGGGAGAGGGAUGCGGAAUUCCAGGUGUAGCGGUGAAAUGCGUAGAUAUCUGGAGGAACACCGGUGGCGAAGGCGGCAUCCUGGACCAAUAUUGACGCUGAGGAGCGAAAGCCAGGGGAGCAAACGGG